rnacentral:rRNA from 1 species
GACUCCAUGAAGCUGGAUUCGCUAGUAAUCGCGCAUCAGCCACGGCGCGGUGAAUACGUUCCCGGGCCUUGUACACACCGCCCGUCAAGCCAUGGGAGCCGGGGGCGCCUGAAGUCCGGGACCGCGAGGACCGGCCUAGGGCGAAACUGGUAACUGGGGCUAAGUCGUAACAAGGUAAC